CGCGGUGACGUACCGGCAGCUGAUCCGUCAGUGCCGUGAGCGCUCGGCGGCGCGCUGGCGUGAGCUGAAGGUGGCGAGAGCCCAGUGUGCAGAGGAGCUGGCUGCCCUACAGCGCACCAAGGCCGAGCAACACCGCUUCCUACUCAGGAAACAGACAACAAUUCUGUCCCAGCAGUCCAGUGUGAAGCAGUACUACCAGAAGCUCUACCCUGACACUAAAGAGGAGGAGAUAGACCCACCCUCUGAGAGCUCUUGAACUCAGUAGAUGUAGCCGUGCUGGGAAUGAACUAAAACCUUCACUCAUCAUGUAGACAGCAAUUACUGACUCACUUCCUGUGGUUUUAAAAUCAGCCGGGGGGAUUCCAU